rnacentral:rRNA from 1 species
GACAGAGGGUGCAAACGUUGUUCGGAAUUACUGGGCGUAAAGAGCGUGUAGGCGGCCAGGUAGGUCUGCUGUGAAAACUCGAGGCUCAACCUCGAGACGUCGGCGGAAACCAUCUGGCUAGAGUCCGGAAGAGGAGAGUGGAAUUCCUGGUGUAGCGGUGAAAUGCGCAGAUAUCAGGAAGAACACCCGUGGCGAAGGCGGCUCUCUGGGACGGUACUGACGCUGAGACGCGAAAGCGUGGGGAGCGAACAGG